CGAAAGGCGAAAGCAAGAGGUGGAGCCUCACCGUGGUAUAUAGCUCUGUUUGCAUUCAUCCAUUCCAGCAUUGUUCUAGCGUCACUUGACUAGCAGAUAUCGUACGGAGAGUACAACAUCUAGACUAACAUGAAGGUAUUCCUCGUUGCCGCUUUAUUGAUGGUAAUGGUUUCAGGACAAAAGCUGUUUAGACAAGACUUUUUCCCUAAUCAGGACAAUUUCGAUUUUCCUACCAAACUUUCCCAACCUGACUACCGUGAACCAAUCUACAGAUACAAUUACGCCUACCGUGCUCCAGAGGACAAACCGACUAAGCCACAUUUAAUGGUCGUCAUUAAAAAGUUGAGAAAAAUGCUUCUUGUUUGAAUGCAAUUACCACCUGUGCCGGCUACAGUUAUGGUUUAAUUUGUUAUCACAAAGUUUUGUUUAGUUUACCCAAGAAAAACGCACUCUAACAUGCUCAAGCGUGUUGAAAGGGAACUGCAUAUUCAUUACAUUGUAUGAAAAUGAAGUUGGCUCACUUCAUCAACAUAGCCAAUAAACGAUGGACCUUUAAAAUAA